GCGACUAGGGGCACCUCUUCCCAUUUUGUAGCUGGAGGUCCAGAGACCAGAGGCGAUGUGCCUGAGGUCACACCACGGCUGAAGCUCUGCCCACCGGCUGGGUGUCCCAGCGUGCCCCGAGGGGAGCCGCCAGGAUGCCAAGAUGUUCGAGGGGUGAGCCCGCUGACCACAAAGCUCUACGAGUGUCUUGCAGCAGCUGUCGGGUACCGCACGGCCGGCGGCCUCGGGCGACUGGAUGUAGGCGCUGUACUGCCAGUCGGCAGAGCUGUGGCUGCCGCAGCAUCUGAACUGUACAAGGGGACAGUCCCGGCUCAUUCUGCCAAGCUGUGCUACUUACUGGGCACCGACCACCUGCAGAGACCCCGACCAGGUUCCGGCCUCCAGCAGAGCAGUGGGUGGCCACCUACUGAGGGAUCGGGUUUGCUAAUUCCCAGCGCUUAGUACACUGUUGCUCUGCACAAUCAAUGCUACUCAAACAAUACUGAUUACCCAUUUAAA